rnacentral:lncRNA from 1 species
CUGGAACUUGUCUGUAUAUUUUGUUCACAGGAAUUCAGUUACAAAUGCUGCAGCAAGAAAGUGGGUAACUGUGAAGUUCAAGCGCCUUAAUGAAAUUUCAGAAUCAUGCAGCUGCCUAACACCUCUCUGGCCCUCUUGGAGGCAGACACACUCCUUCUGGAGCCAGCUACACAGAAGGUCUAAUCAAAUGGCUUAAUAGAUUCCCAUGGAGAGAAGGGAGUAGAUUA